GGCUUACCUGGUUGUGAGGUUC
rnacentral:siRNA from 1 species